UACGUAGGGCGCAAGCGUUGUCCGGAAUUAUUGGGCGUAAAGAGCUCGUAGGCGGCUUGUCGCGUCGGAUGUGAAAGCCCGGGGCUUAACUUCGGGUCUGCAUUCGAUACGGGCAGGCUAGAGUUCGGUAGGGGAGAUCGGAAUUCCUGGUGUAGCGGUGAAAUGCGCAGAUAUCAGGAGGAACACCGGUGGCGAAGGCGGAUCUCUGGGCCGAUACUGACGCUGAGGAGCGAAAGCGUGGGGAGCGAACAGG
rnacentral:rRNA from 1 species